rnacentral:rRNA from 1 species
AUUGAACGCUGGCGGCAGGCUUAACACAUGCAAGUCGAGCGGGGUGAUGGUGCUUGCACUAUCACUUAGCGGCGGACGGGUGAGUAAUGCUUAGGAAUCUGCCUAUUAGUGGGGGACAACAUCUCGAAAGGGAUGCUAAUACCGCAUACGUCCUACGGGAGAAAGCAGGGGAUCACUUGUGACCUUGCGCUAAUAGAUGAGCCUAAGUCGGAUUAGCUAGUUGGUGGGGUAAAGGCCUACCAAGGCGACGAUCUGUAGCGGGUCUGAGAGGAUGAUCCGCCACACUGGGACUGGGACACGGCCCAGACUCCUACGGGAGGCAGCAGUGGGGAAUAUUGGACAAUGGGGGGAACCCUGAUCCAGCCAUGCCGCGUGUGAAGAAGGCCUUAUGGUUGUAAAGCACUUUAAGCGAGGAGGAGGCUCUUUUGGUUAAUGCCCAAGAUGAGUGGACGUUACUCGCAGAAUAAGCACCGGCUAACUCUGUGCCAGCCGCCGCCGUAA